AUUGAACGCUGGCGGAAUGCUUUACACAUGCAAGUCGAACGGUAGAGGGGGCAACCCCUCGAGAGUGGCGAACGGGUGAGUAAUAUAUCGGAACGUGCCCAGUCGUGGGGGAUAACGUAGCGAAAGUUACGCUAAUACCGCAUACGAUCUAAGGAUGAAAGCGGGGGAUCGCAAGACCUCGCGCGAUUGGAGCGGCCGAUAUCAGAUUAGGUAGUUGGUGGGGUAAAGGCUCACCAAGCCAACGAUCUGUAGCUGGUCUGAGAGGACGACCAGCCACACUGGAACUGAGACACGGUCCAGACUCCUACGGGAGGCAGCAGUGGGGAAUUUUGGACAAUGGACGCAAGUCUGAUCCAGCCAUCCCGCGUGCAGGAUGAGGGCCCUCGGGUUGUAAACUGCUUUUGUACGGAACGAAAAGGUCUCUCUUAAUACGGGGGGCUCAUGACGGUACCGUAAGAAUAAGCACCGGCUAACUACGUGCCAGCAGCCGCAGUAA
rnacentral:rRNA from 1 species